rnacentral:lncRNA from 1 species
UACUUGUAACUACUGAGUCAUUCCUGAACUGCCCAUAUAUGUACAUAUGUAUGUAUGCGUGCUUGAAUGUCUGUGCACUACAUGAGUGCAGUGUCCCUGGCUGCCAGAAGAUGGCAUUGAAUUCCCUCGGACUGGAGUCAGAACCUGUUGUGAGCUGCCAUAAGAAUGCUGGUCAUGGAACCCUGAUCCUCUGGGAGGGCAGCCAGUGCUCUCAACUGCUGAGCCAUUACUCCAGCCCCUGACAUAGUGUUGAAAACAACAAACCUGCUUGUUGUCUUAGGGCAAGUAAUAACAGUAUCUAUGGAUGAUUGUAAAUACUCUUGAGGAAAAAUUGGGGUUUUGAAAAGCUUUUCUCAGCAAUGGGCACUUGAUAGCCUUAGUGUUGAGGGAAACCUCUUUCUGUGAAACUAAGGAUCAUAUGAAAAAAAAAAAGUCCACAGUGAAAUGAGCCAUUCCUGAAGAUUUAACAGGAAAUCUUGAGUGCUGGGACUUCAUUUCAGAAUCCUUAAUGGUAUGUGAUUGGCUUGUUGAAGUUUCUUUGCAGGCUUCACGUCUUUGGUCACAUAACUUUAGAUAAUUACUUCUAAAGCUUAUUUCUGGUUUGGCUUGUCACUUCUUUUGCCUCUGGCCUCAAACUCCUGGGCUUCUGUGAUCUGCCUACUUGACCCUGAGUAGCUGUGGCUGCUGACAAGCUUCCACUGUACCAGCUUCAUAUUGCUUUUAAUUUGUUUCUUUGGCAUGAGAAAAUUUGAUAUAUCUACAUUAAACAGACAUUUUUCAAAAAGGCUUCCUGAUGGCACUGUUUUUGCUUUUGAAAAACUGCUGUUUCUUUUCUGUGUUUAUACUAAAGAACAAUCGUGACAAUCUUGUUAAACAGUGAGAAGUUUUGUUUUUUGUUUUAAUUUAUUUUAUUUAAACAGAAGUUUUAAAAGAUUAGAAUCACCUAGAUCUAGAUCUGUUAACUAGCUUCAGGUUGUGGAGGCUGCUAGGUGGUGGGUGAGUCAAUUGUGGGUUCACUGCUGGCUAAUCAUCUUAACUUACGUUUUAGUUCUGGGGGUCAAAACUGAGGGUCUAAGGUAAGAGGAAUCAAGGUUUCUGGGGCCUCUGAUCUCAUGGUAGAGUAGAAGGAGAAAGAAUGACUGUGAAUUGUAACCAGAUCACUACUAACUACCAAAGUGGGCCACCUGGGAAACUUACAGAUAGAAAAAGACCCUAACCUGUAACCUCUUGGUUAUUAUUUAAGCUACAAAGGAAUAGAUUGGUCUAUUCUUCAAUACUUCUGUAGAAAGUAGUAUCUUAUUUUUUUUUACAUGACUAUCCUUGCCAAAGCAAGACUUGAAAAAAAGCAUGGUUAAAAAGCAUCCAGCAAAGUAGUUCAGCAAGGUUAAAGACACCAUCCCACCAAGCCUGAGUAGAUGCUUAGAACCCACAUGGUGGGGACAGCUGACUCCCUCAAGUUGUCCUCAGACUUCCCAUGCACACCAUUGCAUGUUUUUGUGCAUGCAUGCACACACAAUUAAAUUUUAGUUAAAAGUGCUCAGCUAUUGGGAUCUGGGGGUGCUCUUGCAGAGGACUUGGGUUUGGUCCCUAGCGGCUGUCUGACUCCAGCUUAGGGUCCGAUGAUUUGACUUCUUCCUUGGGAACAAAGCACUCACAUGCACAUACCUACCCACACACAACACAAUG